rnacentral:lncRNA from 1 species
AAAAACACUAUUUAAAUAUCACCUGAGUUUGAUCAAUAAUUAUCGACUCGAUAAGUUCUUAUCUGCACAUGCAGCUCCUGUACCCGUACACAGCAAAACAUGUGUUUCAUCCUCAUUGUUUUCAACACUUUAAAUAACCAAGUUUAUAAAGUUAUGUGAUUGACACCUUGAAAUAGGUCCUCCACAACUCAUAACAGCAGCAAGAUGGCAGAUUAUCAGCAUGAGAGAGGCAGGAAUGUCGCUGUGACAA